AUGAACGCUAGCUACAGGCUUAACACAUGCAAGUCGAGGGGCAGCAUGGUCUUAGCUUGCUAAGGCCGAUGGCGACCGGCGCACGGGUGAGUAACACGUAUCCAACCUGCCGUCUACUCUUGGACAGCCUUCUGAAAGGAAGAUUAAUACAAGAUGGCAUCAUGAGUCCACAUGUUCACAUGAUUAAAGGUAUUCCGGUAGACGAUGGGGAUGCGUUCCAUUAGAUAGUAGGCGGGGUAACGGCCCACCUAGUCUUCGAUGGAUAGGGGUUCUGAGAGGAAGGUCCCCCACAUUGGAACUGAGACACGGUCCAAACUCCUACGGGAGGCAGCAGUGAGGAAUAUUGGUCAAUGGGCGAGAGCCUGAACCAGCCAAGUAGCGUGAAGGAUGACUGCCCUAUGGGUUGUAAACUUCUUUUAUAAAGGAAUAAAGUCGGGUAUGCAUACCCGUUUGCAUGUACUUUAUGAAUAAGGAUCGGCUAACUCCGUGCCAGCAGCCGCGGUAAUACGGAGGAUCCGAGCGUUAUCCGGAUUUAUUGGGUUUAAAGGGAGCGUAGAUGGAUGUUUAAGUCAGUUGUGAAAGUUUGCGGCUCAACCGUAAAAUUGCUGUUGAUACUGGAUAUCUUGAGUGCAGUUGAGGCAGGCGGAAUUCGUGGUGUAGCGGUGAAAUGCUUAGAUAUCACGAAGAACUCCGAUUGCGAAGGCAGCCUGCUAAGCUGCAACUGACAUUGAGGCUCGAAAGUGUGGGUAUCAAACAGGAUUAGAUACCCUGGUAGUCCACACGGUAAACGAUGAAUACUCGCUGUUUGCGAUAUACAGCAAGCGGCCAAGCGAAAGCGUUAAGUAUUCCACCUGGGGAGUACGCCGGCAACGGUGAAACUCAAAGGAAUUGACGGGGGCCCGCACAAGCGGAGGAACAUGUGGUUUAAUUCGAUGAUACGCGAGGAACCUUACCCGGGCUUAAAUUGCAGAUGAAUUACGGUGAAAGCCGUAAGCCGCAAGGCAUCUGUGAAGGUGCUGCAUGGUUGUCGUCAGCUCGUGCCGUGAGGUGUCGGCUUAAGUGCCAUAACGAGCGCAACCCUUGUUGUCAGUUACUAACAGGUCAUGCUGAGGACUCUGACAAGACUGCCAUCGUAAGAUGUGAGGAAGGUGGGGAUGACGUCAAAUCAGCACGGCCCUUACGUCCGGGGCUACACACGUGUUACAAUGGGGGGUACAGAGGGCCGCUACCACGCGAGUGGAUGCCAAUCCCAAAAACCUCUCUCAGUUCGGACUGGAGUCUGCAACCCGACUCCACGAAGCUGGAUUCGCUAGUAAUCGCGCAUCAGCCACGGCGCGGUGAAUACGUUCCCGGGCCUUGUACACACCGCCCGUCAAGCCAUGGGAGCCGGGGGUACCUGAAGUGCGUAACCGCGAGGAGCGCCCUAGGGUAAAACUGGUGACUGGGGCU
rnacentral:rRNA from 1 species